GGCCGAUCGGUUCUUCCCCAGUAACUCGGGCCCUUUCUCCAUCAUGCCGGGCAUGGUAGAAGAGGGGAGGGGGAAAGGGGAAGAAACCAGUAAUGAGAAAGGAGCUGAAGAAACAAGAGCAGAGAGAGAUUAACUGAUGGAGCAAGACUUUGAAGAAUGAAGGAGCAACAAGGACAAGGUGGCUGGAUUGGUCUUGACCAAGAGGCAGUACACCUCAUCCUCUGAAACUAGAGAAAGCUAAAAAGGAGAUACUUGUAGGAACUUCUGAACAAAUAGAAUAUGAAAAUGCCAGUAUUGGAACUAAUGCAAGAAACUCUCUGCAUGGAAUCCCACCAUGAAACUAAAGAAGCCAAAAGAGAACUGUAAUAUCUCUUUUGAAAGAAUUAGAACAACAGCUUGCUGUCAAUAAAAAGAUCACAACCCAUGGAAAAGAUAGCUAUUAAAAAUAUGUCAUCAAAGUCAGGAAGAGAGAGACAGACAGAGACAGAGACAGAGAUCAUUUGGAGAUGGAGUAAAAAGAAAAUAUCUGGAGUUAGCUAAUAACCAAUAUGUCCUCUUCCAACUAGUGUAGAAUUAGAAAGAGCUUUUUCAGCAACUGGAAAAAUGUGCACAAAAAUAAGUUCACUAUCUAAUAAAAACCAAUUGACACUUAAAGAAACAUCUUUCUUUAAAAAAGAGAUAUCAUAUUU